GCACGCUUGCUUGAAUGUACAUUUACAAGAGUUUAAAGUGAUACAGAGAUUAGCGUGGGCCCUGCACAAGAAUGACAUGCAAAUUCAUGAAGCAUUCCAUAUGUUU
rnacentral:snRNA from 1 species